AUUGAACGCUGGCGGCAUGCCUUACACAUGCAAGUCGAACGGCAGCACGGGAGCUUGCUCCUGGUGGCGAGUGGCGAACGGGUGAGUAAUACAUCGGAACGUACCCUGAAGUGGGGGAUAACGUAGCGAAAGUUACGCUAAUACCGCAUAUUCUGUGAGCAGGAAAGAGGGGGAUCGCAAGACCUCUUGCUUUAGGAGCGGCCGAUGUCGGAUUAGCUAGUUGGUGAGGUGAAGGCUCACCAAGGCGACGAUCCGUAGCGGGUCUGAGAGGAUGAUCCGCCACACUGGGACUGAGACACGGCCCAGACUCCUACGGGAGGCAGCAGUGGGGAAUUUUGGACAAUGGGCGCAAGCCUGAUCCAGCCAUGCCGCGUGAGUGAAGAAGGCCUCGGUUGUAAG
rnacentral:rRNA from 1 species